GGCGCUAUCGUCUAGCCCGGUCCAGGACGCUGCCCUCUCACGGCAGAAACACGAGUUCAAAUCUCGUUAGCGCUA
rfam:Parcubacteria bacterium GW2011_GWB1_41_4 TT61_C0033, whole genome shotgun sequence.